rnacentral:rRNA from 1 species
UACGUAGGGUGCAAGCGUUGUCCGGAAUUAUUUGGGCGUAAAGAGCUCGUAGGCGGUUUGUCGCGUCUGCUGUGAAAACUCGGGGCUUAACUCCGGGCCUGCAGUGGGUACGGGCAGACUAGAGUGCGGUAGGGGAGACUGGAAUUCCUGGUGUAGCGGUGAAAUGCGCAGAUAUCAGGAGGAACACCGGUGGCGAAGGCGGGAUCCUGGGCCAGUACUGACGCUGAGGAGCGAAAGCGUGGGGAGCAACAGG